CCAGCAGCCGCGGUAAUUCCAGCUCCAAUAGCGUAUAUUAAAGUUGUUGCGGUUAAAAAGCUCGUAGUUGGAUCUCUGGUCUUGUCGGCCGGUCUCCCUCUGGGUAGUACUGGUCUGGGCGGACCCGGACUGCUAGUUGUCCAUGCGUGCCUUUAACUGGGUGCGUAUGGUGGCUAGCGCGUUUACUUUGAAAAAAUUAGAGUGCUCAAAGCAGGCGAGUGCCUGGAUAGUGGUGCAUGGAAUAAUGGAAUAGGACGUCAGUUCUAUUUGUUGGUUCGGAAUUUGACGUAAUGAUUAAGAGGGACAGACGGGGGCAUUCGUAUUGCUACGCUAGAGGUGAAAUU
rnacentral:rRNA from 1 species